UUUAUCCGCUAUGCUCCUAUGGAUGAAUUUGUCUAGGACUCAAACAAUUCUAUAUGGUUAUUUUCUGUCAAAUAUUUUGCAUUACUUAUCACAUACGGAAACUAACACAUCUGCCUUUGAGUUGUUUUACUUUAUAGAUAAUAGAAAUUACUCCAUGUUGAUAUAAGCUGGUAGAACAUCCCCACUUCACCCGAUCGAAAGUGC
rnacentral:lncRNA from 1 species